CCUACGGGUGGCAGCAGUAGGGGAUAUUGCACAAUGGGGGAAACCCUGAUGCAGCAACGCCGCGUGGAGGAUGAAGGUUUUCGGAUUGUAAACUCCUUUUGUUAGAGAAGAUAAUGACGGUAUCUAACGAAUAAGCACCGGCUAACUCCGUGCCAGCAGCCGCGGUAAUACGGAGGGUGCAAGCGUUACUCGGAAUCACUGGGCGUAAAGAGCGCGUAGGCGGGUUAGCAAGUCAGAUGUGAAAUCCUAUGGCUUAACCAUAGAACUGCAUUUGAAACUGUUAGUCUAGAGUAUGGGAGAGGUAGGUGGAAUUCUUGGUGUAGGGGUAAAAUGCGUAGAGAUCAAGAGGAAUACUCAUUGCGAAGGCGACCUGCUAGAACAUAACUGACGCUGAUGCGCGAAAGCGUGGGGAGCAAACAGGAUUAGAUACCCGUGUAGUC
rnacentral:rRNA from 1 species